CUGCAUGAAGCUGGAAUCGCUAGUAAUCGCGGAUCAGAAUGCCGCGGUGAAUACGUUCCCGGGUCUUGUACACACCGCCCGUCACACCAUGGGAGCCGGGAAUGCCCGAAGUCAGUGGCCCAACCGCAGGGAGGGAGCUGCCGAAGGCAGGCCUGGUGACUGGGGUGAAGUCGUAACAAGGUAAC
rnacentral:rRNA from 1 species